UGCAGUUUUGCUUUUCAUGGUUUCAUUUAUCCGUAGUGAACUGUGGUCUGGAAUCAGAUGAUCCUCCUUCUGACUAAUCCUCAGCAGGUUGAUAAUAGCCUAACACUAUGUCACAAUGUCUACAUCAUUCACCUCACUUCAUCUCAUCAUGUGGGCCUUGUAUCAUCUCACAUCAUCACGAGAAGAUGUUUAACCACUGAAAAUAAUGAGAAAACCCCUACAAAGAAUGCUCCACUCCAUUCAACAUGGUGACAGCAUUAAUUUGUCCCAGACUACAUAAAUGAGAGAAGGUAAACUAUGGAUUCAUUGGACUGCCCUGAACAUUCCCUGAAACUUCAAUUAUAAAAACUCUUCUCACCUGCUCUGGAUAUCCAUCCAUACUCCUUUGCCCUUUAGUUUGAAUUAAGCACCGUCCAGGCUGAGGUCCCCGGGUGGCCUGUGAAGAGGGGAUCUGAAUAGGCAAUGGUGACUGAAAUUGCUGGAUGGUCACUUUGUUUAUAUUUCCCUCAUAUGGCUGCUGCUCCCGGCUCCGAUGCUGAAGGCUUUGGGACCCCAUCAAAGUCUGGAUGUGGCUUCCUGCCUGUGGAGAAGAUAAUUUGUCAGACGAAGAUUCAUGGUGUUGAAAGGAUGUGAUUAAAGUAGAAAACACGUACAGAAUACCUCUCUGGUAAAGUGGCAUCAUUUGGGCUCUCAGCCACUGCUGGAAAGGAUAAUGAAAAAACAGUAAGGGUCUGCCUACUGUGGUUUGUGAAAAUGUUAAUACUGGAGCAAGGUUGCAAUAAAUACAUUCAUAGUCA